rnacentral:rRNA from 1 species
UCGUCAGCUCGUGCCGUGAGGUGUUGGGUUAAGUCCCGCAACGAGCGCAACCCCUAUCAAUAGUUGCCAACAGGUAAUGCUGGGAACUCUAAAGAAACUGCCGCCGUAAGGCGUGAGGAAGGAGGGGAUGAUGUCAAGUCAUCAUGGCCUUUAUGCCCAGGGCUACACACGUGCUACGAUGGGGUGGACAAAGGGCUGCAACACGGUGACGUGAAGCCAAUCCCAAAAACCAUCUCUCAGUUCAGAUUGGAGUCUGCAACUCGACUCCAUGAAGCUGGAAUCGCUAGUAAUCGUAUAUCAGCAAUGAUACGGUGAAUACGUUCCCGGACCUUGCACACACCGCCCGUCAAGCCAUGGGAGCCGGGUGUACCUAAAGUCGGUAACCGCAAGGAGCUGCCUAGCGUCUAUAUAAUAGGGUGACUGGGGCUAAGUCGUAACAAGGUAACCGUA